GGGAUCGACUGUCGAUGGGUUCGAAAGGGAACGGGAUCAUAUGGCCGAGUUGGGGAUCAGUAACGCCACUUUAGUCGGGGUGGCUCCAAGAGAAUUAGGGUCAACAGUAAAAAGACGAGAGUUAUUAUGACUGUCCUGUUGCAUAGAGCCAUGUGAGGCACUUAAAUAUCUCUGACAGAGAUCAUGAAUUGGCUUGGCGUGCAGCUAGCCGUGAAAGUAGUGACAAGACAUGAUGUGGGAUAGAUGAGUAGAGCGACAUAACUGCAUGAUAGGACUUUUUGAUCAACAGGACCCUCAUCAGACGUUCUAUAGCUUAAACCC
rnacentral:lncRNA from 1 species